CCACGUAUUUCAACAUCAAUCGAUAUUUCAUAAUACACUUUUUGAAAAUUAAAAGGGCACAAACAGUGCCUUAAUGGUUAUGGUCAAUAAAAUAAUUUGCGAUCACCACCAACACUUGCGACCACCAUCUCACCAAUGCCUCCAGUAGCACCAUCACCACCAUUGUCGCCAGAACAACCACCACCUCCCAAUAGAAGCACCACCACUUCAAACAAAUCAACUCAAAUAAAAAAACACCUCCACAUUGUCGCAUAGAUCCACUUCCACGAAAAAAAUAUAUUACAGUCACCGUCGUAGUCGCCACCACCACGACCACCACCAACAAUGCAACCUUCAUAGCCAGCACCGUCGUCAUCAUCGCCACCACAACUAGCACCACCUCCUCCACCCCCCCACCACAGCCAAUAAAACCCAUUCCCAAAAUCAUUCCACAACUACUAUAAAACCAGAUCCAAAAUCAUUGCCCAACCAUCACAGAUCAGUUCCAAAAUAUGAUGACUGCUACGCUCGGAUCCCAAACCCACUGCUAAAAUAACUGCACAUCACGACAAUUACUGUUGCUCUCGGAUGCCAAACCCAUCACUAAAAUCAUUACACAUCACGACGAUGACUGGGAGCAACGACAAAGACAUUAUCACAUUUGCAUGAUGACCAUUGUGCUUAGAUCCAAAACAAAUCCCAAAAUCACUGGAUAUCACAGUGAUGGUUGCGUGGUGGCUGCGACGGCAACAACGCUACUGCAACGAUGUCAAUGGACAUCUCCGCUCAAUGUGCUAGUGUAGUAGUGCUGACGGUAUGGUGGCACUAGCAAGGAUGGUGGCAGCGGCGAACGGCUAGAGAAAUGAUAGAGGUUGGGAUAGAGGGAGAAGACAAAAUGGAGA
rnacentral:lncRNA from 1 species